CCUACGGGGGGCUGCAGUAGGGAAUCUUCCACAAUGGGCGAAAGCCUGAUGGAGCAACGCCGCGUGGGUGAAGAAGGUCUUCGGAUCGUAAAACCCUGUUGUUAGAGAAGAAAGUGCGUGCGAGUAACUGUUCACGUUUCGACGGUAUCUAACCAGACAGCCACGGCUAACUACGUGCCAGCAGCCGCGGUAAUACGUAGGUGGCAAGCGUUAUCCGGAUUUAUUGGGCGUAAAGGGAACGCAGGCGGUCUUUUAAGUCUGAUGUGAAAGCCUUCGGCUUAACCGGAGUAGUGCAUUGGAAACUGGGAGACUGGAGUGCAGAAGAGGAGAGUGGAACUCCAUGUGUAGCGGUGAAAUGCGUAGAUAUAUGGAAGAACACCAGUGGCGAAAGCGGCUCUCUGGUCUGUAACUGACGCUGAGGUUCGAAAGCGUGGGUAGCAAACAGGAUUAGAUACCCGUGUAGUC
rnacentral:rRNA from 1 species